UCAAAUCANGUAGGGAUUAC
rnacentral:rRNA from 1 species